UGACCUCAAAUCAGGUAGGACUACCCGCUGAACUUAAGCAUAUCAAUAAGCGGAGGAAAAGAAACUAACAAGGAUUCCCCUAGUAACUGCGAGUGAAGCGGGAAAAGCUCAAAUUUAAAAUCUGGCAGUCUGACUGUCCGAGUUGUAAUCUAGAGAAGCGUCAUCCGCGCUGGACCGUGUACAAGUCUCCUGGAAUGGAGCGUCAUAGAGGGUGAGAAUCCCGUCUUUGACACGGACUGCCAGGGCUUUGUGAUGCGCUCUCAAAGAGUCGAGUUGUUUGGGAAUGCAGCUCAAAAUGGGUGGUAAAUUCCAUCUAAAGCUAAAUAUUGGCGAGAGACCGAUAGCGAACAAGUACCGUGAGGGAAAGAUGAAAAGAACUUUGGAAAGAGAGUUAAACAGUACGUGAAAUUGCUGAAAGGGAAACGCUUGAAGUCAGUCGCGUUGACUAGGGAUCAACCUUGCUUUUGCUUGGUGUACUUUCUGGUUAACGGGUCAGCAUCAGUUUUGAUUAUUGGAAAAAGAUCAAGGGAAUGUGGCAUCUUCGGAUGUGUUAUAGCCCUUGGUUGCAUACAAUGAUUGGGAUUGAGGAACUCAGCACGCCGCAAGGCCGGGUUUUUAACCACGUACGUGCUUAGGAUGCU
rnacentral:rRNA from 2 species